GCUGGGGUGGCCGAGUGGUUAAGGCGCAGGGUUGCUAACCCUGUGGGCUUCGGCCCGCGCAGGUUCGAAUCCUGUCCCCAGCG
rnacentral:tRNA from 1 species